AUUGAUUUUUCCUCUCUCUAACCGAAGCAUCCUCAAGAAGCUAAAUUAAAUCCAUUUUCUUUUUCACCUGUCGGCUUCCUCCUUAAGCCAUUUGGAUUCUCUCCCUUCUCCUACACGCUGGACAAGAUAAACAAAGCCCUCUCCUUCUCCCUUACCCCACCGACGGCUUCUAAGGCAAGACAACUGAUUUCCUCCUCAUUUCUCUUCACUCGUCGGGUCCAAGGCAUACAAAGGAGAGAAAGAACUUCUCAAGUCUUCCAUCGCAUGGAGAACCCUUCGGUUUCCCCCAAGCCACGCGAUUCUUCUUCUCAUCAAAGUCGAUUCUUCCAUUUCCUACACCUAAGGUUUCUACCGAAAAAUCCCCAAGGAAAAUCAACCUCCCCCAAAUCUUUCGGUUUUGCUUUUCCUCUUCUCAUUUCCGUGUACUUUCGUGGCUUCCAAGGGGACCCAAACAGGUAUGAAUGAAGAGGCUGUGGAGCUGGGCACCGCUGAGGAUGGAGGGGCAGACGCUUAGAUUUCCCUGUCGGUUUGGUUUUGAUGGCGAUGGUUAUGUUUUCUUUAUGUUUUUAUGAUGGGUCCCAUGUUGGGACGUUUUGUAGGAUGGACUGUAAAACAAUAUGCCUUCGGGCAUGAUGUAACUACUAUGGUGGAGUGAUAGUAAUAGCGUAACUACUAUGGUGGGGUGAUAGUAACCCCACAUACGAUGGUUUAAUGCCCCCUUUUGUAUGUGUUGUUGGGACUGAGUCCCCUCUUAAUUAGAACUAGUAUGUUUUUAAAUAAAUGAAUGAUGGUCUCUGAGAGUCCCUUUUAUAGA